rnacentral:rRNA from 1 species
GUAACGCGUGGGUAACCUGCCUCAUACAGGGGGAUAACAGUUAGAAAUGACUGCUAAUACCGCAUAAGCGCACAGUGCUGCAUGGCACAAGUGUGAAAAACUCCGGUGGUAUGAGAUGGACCCGCGUCUGAUUAGCUAGUUGGUGGGGUAACGGCCUACCAAGGCGACGAUCAGUAGCCGGCCUGAGAGGGUGAACGGCCACAUUGGGACUGAGACACGGCCCAAACUCCUACGGGAGGCAGCAUG